rnacentral:rRNA from 1 species
GACGAACGCUGGCGGCGUGCCUAAUACAUGCAAGUUGAGCGCUGAAGGUUGGUACUUGUACCGACUGGAUGAGCAGCGAACGGGUGAGUAACGCGUGGGGAAUCUGCCUUUGAGCGGGGGACAACAUUUGGAAACGAAUGCUAAUACCGCAUAACAACUUUAAACACAAGUUUUAAGUUUGAAAGAUGCAAUUGCAUCACUCAAAGAUGAUCCCGCGUUGUAUUAGCUAGUUGGUGAGGUAAAGGCUCACCAAGGCGAUGAUACAUAGCCGACCUGAGAGGGUGAUCGGCCACAUUGGGACUGAGACACGGCCCAAACUCCUACGGGAGGCAGCAGUAGGGAAUCUUCGGCAAUGGACGAAAGUCUGACCGAGCAACGCCGCGUGAGUGAAGAAGGUUUUCGGAUCGUAAAACUCUGUUGGUAGAGAAGAACGUUGGUGAGAGUGGAAAGCUCAUCAAGUGACGGUAACUACCCAGAAAGGGACGGCUAACUACGUG